rnacentral:rRNA from 1 species
CACGUGAGUAAUCUACCCCUCACUUCGGGAUAACCGCCGGAAACGGUGGCUAAUACCGAAUACGACGCACUCUCGCAUGGGAUGUGCGUGGAAAGUUUUCUCGGUGAAGGAUGUGCUCGCGGCCUAUCAGCUUGUUGGUGGGGUAACGGCCUACCAAGGCUUCGACGGGUAGCCGGCCUGAGAGGGUGACCGGCCACACUGGGACUGAGACACGGCCCAGACUCCUACGGGAGGCAGCAGUGGGGAAUAUUGGACAAUGGGCGAAAGCCUGAUCCAGCAACGCCGCGUGAGGGAUGACGG